UACGUAGGGCGCAAGCGUUGUCCGGAAUUAUUGGGCGUAAAGAGCGUGUAGGCGGCCAGGUAGGUCUGCUGUGAAAACUCGAGGCUUAACCUCGAGAUGUCGGCGGAAACCAUCUGGCUAGAGUCCGGAAGAGGAGAGUGGAAUUCCUGGUGUAGCGGUGAAAUGCGCAGAUAUCAGGAAGAACACCCGUGGCGAAGGCGGCUCUCUGGGACGGUACUGACGCUGAGACGCGAAAGCGUGGGGAGCGAACAGG
rnacentral:rRNA from 1 species